rnacentral:lncRNA from 1 species
CCACUUUUACCCUCAUCUUUAAUAAAGGGUAAAAGACAUUUAUAACAUUCUGAUUAACUUUGACAAAAAAAAACAUAUGGUUAACUAAUCUAAACUUAAAACAUCAACUCUAAACCUUAAAUCAUCAAUUAUAAACCCUAAACCAUGAAACAUCAACUCUAAACCCUAAACUCCGAAACAUCAACUCUAAACCUUAAACCCUAAACCUUUAAAUCUAAACCCUAAAACAUCAACUCUAAACCCUAGACAUAAACCCUAAACCCUAAAUCUAAACUCAAAACAUCAACUUUAAACCCUAAAUCAUCAACUCUAAACCCUAAACCAUGAAACAUCAACUCUAAACCCUAAACCCCAAAACAUCAACUCUAAACCCUAAACCCCGAAACAUCAACUCUAAACCCUAAACUCUAAACCUUCAAAUCUAAACCCUAAAACAUCAACUCUAAAC